GCGUACGGCGCGCCGCCGCCUGUCGGAGCCAACUACCAGCAGGCCCCGCCGCCGCAGGACACGAAGGACCGUGGUGGCGACGGCUUCUGGAAAGGAUGUUGCGCUGCCAUCUGCUGCUGCUGUCUGCUCGACAUGUGCUUCUGAUCGACACCAAGCCCAAUUCUUGGAUGAUCUACUCCAAGCCCAACUCACAUGCAGCUGCUCACAAUUAGUCAUCGUUGUUUCUACUACCGUAUUUGUGGUGUCAGAGUUGGGAUUUGUAGUAGGAUGUAGACCUGGGUUUUGGCCUUGGCUUAAUUCCGUAUCACGAUAUUGUUCAUCAGCAUGUAGCUUGAAUUGGUUGUUUAUUGUUGGCGGUCUUUAGUUUGUUGCCAUGAACUGAAUUGGAUUUCUGUGAGUUGUUUUUCAA